rnacentral:rRNA from 1 species
ACGAGAAUAUUCCGCAAUGGACGAAAGUCUGACGGAGCGACGCCGCGUGAUGGAUGAAGUGCCUUGGUACGUAAACAUCUUUUUAUCGGGGACGAAGUUUAUUGACGGUACCCGAUGAAUAAGGAGCUCCUAACUCUGUGCCAGCAGGAGCGGUAAUACAGAGGCUCCAAGCAUUACCCGGAAUCACUGGGCGUAAAGGGUGUCUAGGCGGCCAUAUUAGUCUCUCGUUAAAUGUCCGAGCUCAACUUGGUCACUGCGAGGGAAACGGUAUGGCUCGAGGGCGUGAGAGGUGCAUGGAACUCAUGGUGGAGGGGUGAAAUCCGUUGAUAUCAUGGGGAACACCAAAGGCGAAGGCAAUGCACUGGUACGUUCCUGACGCUCAAACACGAAAGCCAGGGUAGCGAAUGGGAUUAGAUACCCACGUAGUCCCUGAGCGGGCUGGCAAGGCGCAU